rnacentral:rRNA from 1 species
GAUGAACGCUAGCGGCAGGCCUAAUACAUGCAAGUCGGACGGGAUUCAACAGCUUGCUGUUGAUGAGAGUGGCGCACGGGUGCGUAACGCGUGAGCAACCUGCCCAUUUCAGGGGGAUAGCCCGGAGAAAUCCGGAUUAAGACCGCAUAUGAUCACGUUACCGCAUGGUAGAGUGAUGAAAUAUUCAUAGGAAAUGGAUGGGCUCGCGUGACAUUAGCUAGUUGGUAGGGUAACGGCCUACCAAGGCGACGAUGUCUAGGGGCUCUGAGAGGAGAAUCCCCCACACUGGUACUGAGACACGGACCAGACUCCUACGGGAGGCAGCAGUAAGGAAUAUUGGUCAAUGGGGGGAACCCUGAACCAGCCAUGCCGCGUGCAGGAAGACGGCCCUACGGGUUGUAAACUGCUUUUGCACGGGAAUAACCCUCAUUAUGUAUAAUGAGCUGAAUGUACCGUGAGAAUAAGGAUCGGCUAACUCCGUGCCAGCAGCCGCGGUAAUACGGAGGAUCCGAGCGUUAUCCGGAAUUAUUGGGUUUAAAGGGUGCGCAGGCGGGGAUCUAAGUCAGGGGUGAAAGACGGUGGCUCAACCAUCGCAGUGCCUUUGAUACUGGAUUCCUUGAAUAUACCUGAGGUAGGCGGAAUGUGGCAAGUAGCGGUGAAAUGCAUAGAUAUGCCACAGAACACCGAUUGCGAAGGCAGCUUACCAAAGUAUGAUUGACGCUGAGGCACGAAAGCGUGGGGAUCGAACAGGAUUAGAUACCCUGGUAGUCCACGCCCUAAACGAUGAACACUCGAUGUCGGCGAUAGACAGUCGGCGUCCAAGCGAAAGCGUUAAGUGUCCAACCUGGGGGAGUACGCCCGCAAGGGUGAAUAGGAAAUUAUGUUGGGGGGGCGGG